UGUGGGAGCGGGCUUGCUCGCGAAUGCGCUGUGUCAGUCACUGUAAAUGUCACUGAUAGACCGCAUUCGCGAGCAAGCCCGCUCCCACA
rnacentral:antisense_RNA from 1 species